AUCAGGAAGCCCUAGGUGCCGGCAAGAAGGGUAGUGGAAAGACGUGACCUGCCCUCAAGCAGCUCAGCCUCACGGGGAAAAGAAAUGUGUAAAGAGCUGAACUUAGGGUCAUGGAUGUUGUAUGGACAAGGAGUUUGAAAAACUUGGCUGGAGGGGAGGACUUUGCAUUUGCACACACUGGAAGGUUGCCUUUAUUAUAUCCAUUUCUGUAUUCGUACCAGCACCUCGCAAAAUAAUUGUCUCAGCAGACUCCCUUGGGCAAUACUUCACAGACAUGACUGUGCACGCCAGUCACCCAGAGAUCAUGUUAAAAUGCACAUCUGGUUCAGCAGGCCUAGGUUUCUGUAUGUUAUAGAAGUUCAAAGAAGACAAACUCUAGCCAAGAGCAGUGUGAAGAAAAGAAGACGCUAUAUUAAUCACAGUCCAGGGAUGCCUUCUGGCUUCCUGGCAGCAAUUCCGGCCUGAGAUUCCUUCUCUGUGCAUACUUCCUGUCAACAUUGUGUGAUGUCAAGCUGUGGCCGUCACAAAAGUACUGUGAACACCUGUAAAUCCCAACUAUCAAAAAUCACACCCAGGAAUCCAAAUUAGCAUUAUUAUGUCAAAAGAAAAACCUGAUUUCUUCACUGUCUGAUAACUGCUUUCUUUAUUGUCCUAAACUAGCAUUCCCUAACCUUUGAGUGAGAUAGUGACACUUUAGUUUCUUAUAUUCUAAAAUGUUUUCAGGGGCAGCUGGUGGCAGAGGAGAGGGCAGUGGGGAUAGGGCAGGGAGACAGAUACCUGCACAAGGAAGGUAUGGGGAUGAGGUGGGAGUCAAGAUGAUGAACGGAGAGAGGGAUGGUAACCGAUUUAGUCACCCAUUUGAGAGGGUCUCCAGACUUGCACUGCUGGCUAAAGACUCCUGUCCUAAGUGAGAAAGCAUCAUGUCAGGCAGGGGCUCUAUCCCGGUGGUUAUGGGUGGACAUUCUGGAGUGAUCUAAGGAGGCUUCCCGAGUCUCACUGUUGGCUCUCCCUGACCCCUUCUAAAGCUUUCUUUCUAGCUUCUGCUGCCCUCCAGGUAAGCACUCCACAGCCUGUGGAGCUCUGUGGGUAUAGUCUGUCCUUCCCAUAAUGAUUUGCCUCGCUGCAGUAAUUAACAGAAUGACUUCCAAAAUUAAGGGUUCAAAUCUGGCUGUGACACCUACAAUUAUGUCCCCUCUCUGAUUCCUCACCUGCUAAUCCAUGGGGUUGCUGUGAGCACAUGGGAUGCCUCAUGAUACUGCAAGUGGCCACUGCCAGUUGCCUUGAGAAUUACAAGCAGCUCUUGGUGCCUAAUCUGCUCCAUCUCUUAUUCUUCAUAUUCUAUGUAUGUCUUCCUCUGCCACUUACCAGCUGUUGACCUUGGGCAGGUUACUAAAUUUCCUAUGCUUUCUUUUCCCCAUUUAUGUAAGAAUAGCAAUGAUACCUACCUCAAAGGUACUGUAGAUGCUAUAGAUGGAACAUUGGUUUCCUCCUUAAAAUUUACAUAUUGAAAUCUUAACCCCCAAUGUGAGAGUAUUUGCAGGUGGGACCUUGAGAGGUGAUUAGUUCACUAGGGUGGAGCCCACAUGAAUGGGAUUAAUGCCCUUAUAAAAGAGAUCCUGGAGAGUCUUGUCCCUUCCACCCUGUGAGGACAUGGUGAGAAGUGGCCCCUCACCAGACACCAAUUCUGCCAGCACCUUGAUCUUGGACUUCCCAGCCUCUAGAACUGUGAGAAAUAAAUUUCUGUUGUUUAU
rnacentral:lncRNA from 1 species